CGGCAGCCAUGUUAAGCGUGGCGUUUCGGGAAGGGCUGGGGCUGGGCUUGCUUUUACGUAACGGCGUCGCCGCGCCGGAAGUGCUGUGUUUGAUCCAAGAGUUUGUGGUUUUGUGUUUGGCUCCGCUGAUGCUCUUUGGCCUUGGAUAAGCCUUGGGACCUCGAGUUUGUCAUUUGCAAAGUGGCCCGGUUCCCAUAGAGACGUUGUUGGAAUUCACCCAGCUAAAAACAGAAAACUUUUUUUCUUUUUCUUUAGGUUGAGGGGUAGGGAGGGCAGUAAGAUGAUAAUGUUAAAUCAGCUCUUCUCUACAUUUGGAACUCUGUGCAGGAUAUCAUCAAUAAAGUGAAAAGACGACCCACAGAAUGGGAGAAAAUAUUUGCAAGUCAAUAUCUGAUAAGAAACUUGUGUCCAGAGUAUAUAAAGAACUCUUACAACUCAACAAUAAAAAGGCAAAUAAUCUGAUUAAAAAGUGAGCAAAAG
rnacentral:lncRNA from 1 species